ensembl:lncRNA
CUUUGAAGUCCCAAACCUGGGCAGGCCCUGAAUUUUCAUAACGCCCUCAGCAUGGAAAUCUCCUAAAUGAGGACACUAAGACUGCUAGCUAGGGUCGUCCCCCUGGGCCUCCUGCAAGAUCCCUCUCCUCUCCCUGAGCCAGGAGCAAAGGACGUGCCACCAUCCCCGGACUGGGAAGUCUCCGCAGCCUUGCCCUCCUGGGCCUCCGCACAACUGGAAAGGGGCAGUGUCUCCCUGAAGAACCGCAGUGGAAGCCCUCAGAGUCGGCCUCCUGCGCUCUAGGACUCGGGCCAGCCUGGGCACUCCUUGCGCAGCAUCUGCUCCAGCUGUGCUCACGGGGCUUCUUCCUCCCAGUCCUCGCCUCGCCUUGGCUGGCAUAAGUCAGGGUGGCAAUGGCCACCAGAAGGCCGCAGCCGCUGCCCAAAACACCGAUCAACACGCCAGGGUAGCCAAGCUGUGCCGCCCCAGCUCCCUGCACUGGGUGGGUGGGCGCCCCCCCCUCCCACCUCCGCUCCCUGGUUCGCCGGCGACCUCGGCGGCGGCACCAGCAUCACUUUUCCGCCAGGUGGCGCUGAGGCCGUCGGCACCAGGAGCAAAGUGGCAGCGCGGGACGGAGCCGGCUGGUCUCCAUCCCGCACCACGAUGACCGCCGUCGGCUGCCCAGUGGGCUGUGGGGACAGGCGGCGCUGGAGAGACAGCUCACCCCCUAGCACCCCGGGGCGCAGUUAGCUCGGCGUCGGGGCCUUGGUCUGCAGGCGGGUCACCCAGUAGCCCAGCAGAGCGCCCUGGGUCAGAGGCAGCUGCGCUGAGCCACUGAAGACAGUGGCAGUGUGCGUGGUCAUCCUGGUCCUGCACAGGUAGCCACAGCACAGCCGGCCCCGGCGCGGCGGAGAGCCACCCGUCGAGCGCGUUCAGCUCCGGCUGCAACUUGGCCCGUUCCUCGCGGUCAGAGCAUCGCGGUGCGCGCCGCUCCCCCGUGGUGGGGUCCACCAAGACAGCGGGAUACGGCGCCCCGGGCGCGCGACCCACUUCUGCCUCCAGCAGCCGGUAGGUAACCUGGCCGUUGCGGCCCAGGUCCGGGUCCCGCGCGGCCACCGUGGCCAGGUAGGCGCCGGGCGGGUUGUUCUCACGCACCGACACCUCGUAGACCCGCCGAGUGAAGAGCGGCGCGUUGUCGUUCUCGUAGCGGGGGCGCGCCGCGGUCCUCGGCCACCAGCGUCAGGUUGUACUCGGCGAUGCGCUCGCGGUCCAGCGACGCCGCGGUCACCACCAGGUGGAGGCCCGGGGCCCGGGGCCGCGGUCCUGGGCGCGCACGUCCAGCUCGUAGGUGUCCUGGCGCUCGUAGUCCACGGGUCCUGCCAGGGUGAGGCGGCCGGAGCGCGGGUCCAGGCGGAAGAGGCGGCGCGCCUCGGGCCGGGUGCGGGCACCGAAGGCGAACGCCGCAUCGCCGUUGAGGCUCUCGUCGGGGUCCGCCGCGUCCAGGUCGAGCAGCAGCGAGCCCACGGGCCCGUCCUCCUCCAGCUCCACUUCGGCCACCGCGCCCUGCGGGAAGGCCGGGCUGUGGUCGUUGGCGUCCAGCACUCGCACGCUGAGGGCGGCCGUGGCGGAGCGCGGCGGGCGGCCGCCGUCCUGGGCCACCAGCUCCAGGCUGUAGGCGGCCUGGCUCUCGCGGUCCAGCUCCUGCAGCAGCACCAGGUCCGCGCACUGGGCGCCGUCCGCGCGCGUCUGCAGUUCCACGCGGAAGGGGCUGUGAGGCUCGGCCAGGCGCACGCUCUGCAGCCCGUUGGCCCCCACGUCCUCGUCCACCGGCACCUCCAGGGGGAUGCGCGUGCCCACGGCCGCGCCCUCGGACACCUCCACGGGGAUCUGGGCCCGGGGGAAGCGCGGCGCGUGGUCGUUGAUGUCCCUCACCUCCACCUCCACGUGCACCAGCCGGAACUGCUCCUGGGAGAAGCUGACCACGUCGAAGGCCAGCACGCACUGUGGCGCUCGGCCGCACAGCCGCUCGCGGUCCAGGCCCGCGUCCCCGACGGUCAGCUGCCCGUCGCCCUCGCGCACCCGGAGCAGCGAGCUGUUGAACUGCUUCAUCAGGCGGAAGCUGGUGUCUCCGGACACUUUCAUAUGCAGGUGCGGAAAUUGACAGUUUUGAUGCAAGAUUCGGACACCAGCUGCAGCCGCAGAACUAGCAAGAAUUCCAGUCUGGUCCAGCACAAAGUGUCAGCGGAAAAUCUGAGCCUCCAGCAAGCCAUCUUUGUUCCUCAAGGAGAAAAAAGCCAACAGGAGGUUCUGCACUGAUACUUGCAGCCCCUCAUGCCCUCCUGAGUAGGCAGGCAGGAGAUACUUGCCCUCCUAAAUAUAUCUAAUCACUAAACCCUCUCUGCUGUGUAAUCGCUUUUCUGUGCUUCAGGCCUAAGCUUGCUUCUUCUGAACCCGAUCACAGAGGUUACAUAGAGAGGAAUGUGCAAAUAAGCAUCCAUCCGAGCCAAUCUGCAGAGUCUCUGGGUUUUGGGUCAUGUUGUUCCCCUAAAAGAGCUCACAGAAGAUCCUGGGGAGCUGAACAGUGGCCAGAGCAGUGCAGGGGGUCAUGAAUAUCCCCAUAGAAGUUUGCACUAGCAGGAUGCAUCCCACUUGCUUUUUUCCACUCUGCUUGAAUUCCACUUUGAUG